rnacentral:rRNA from 1 species
AUAUGGUCAAGUGAAGAAGCGCAUACGGUGGAUGCCUUGGCAGUCAGAGGCGAUGAAAGACGUGGUAGCCUGCGAAAAGCUUCGGGGAGUCGGCAAACAGACUGUGAUCCGGAGAUAUCUGAAUGGGGGAACCCAGCCAUCAUAAGAUGGUUAUCUUGUACUGAAUACAUAGGUGCAAGAGGCGAACCAGGGGAACUGAAACAUCUAAGUACCCUGAGGAAAAGAAAUCAACCGAGAUUCCCUUAGUAGUGGCGAGCGAACGGGGACCAGCCCUUAAGUUGUAUUGAGAUUAGCGGAACGUUCUGGAAAGGACGGCCAUAGUGGGUGAUAGCCCUGUACGCGAAAAUCCCUUUGCAAUGAAAUCGAGUAGGACGGGGCACGAGAAACCUUGUCUGAAUAUGGGGGGACCAUCCUCCAAGGCUAAAUACUACUGACUGACCGAUAGUGAACCAGUACCGUGAGGGAAAGGCGAAAAGAACCGCGGAGAGCGGAGUGAAAUAGAUCCUGAAACCGUAUGCGUACAAGCAGUGGGAGCCCACUUUGUUGGGUGACUGCGUACCUUUUGUAUAAUGGGUCAGCGACUUAUUUUCAGUGGCGAGCUUAACCGAAUAGGGGAGGCGUAGCGAAAGCGAGUCUUAAUAGGGCGUCUAGUCGCUGGGAAUAGACCCGAAACCGGGCGAUCUAUCCAUGGGCAGGUUGAAGGUUGGGUAACACUAACUGGAGGACCGAACCGACUACCGUUGAAAAGUUAGCGGAUGACCUGUGGAUCGGAGUGAAAGGCUAAUCAAGCUCGGAGAUAGCUGGUUCUCCUCGAAAGCUAUUUAGGUAGCGCCUCAUGUAUCACUGUAGGGGGUAGAGCACUGUUUCGGCUAGGGGGUCAUCCCGACUUACCAAACCGAUGCAAACUCCGAAUACCUACAAGUGCCGAGCAUGGGAGACACACGGCGGGUGCUAACGUCCGUCGUGAAAAGGGAAACAACCCAGACCGUCAGCUAAGGUCCCAAAGUCAUGGUUAAGUGGGAAACGAUGUGGGAAGGCUUAGACAGCUAGGAGGUUGGCUUAGAAGCAGCCACCCUUUAAAGAAAGCGUAAUAGCUCACUAGUCGAGUCGGCCUGCGCGGAAGAUGUAACGGGGCUCAAACCAUGCACCGAAGCUACGGGUAUCAUCUUUUGAUGAUGCGGUAGAGGAGCGUUCUGUAAGCCUGUGAAGGUGAGUUGAGAAGCUUGCUGGAGGUAUCAGAAGUGCGAAUGCUGACAUGAGUAACGACAAUGGGUGUGAAAAACACCCACGCCGAAAGACCAAGGUUUCCUGCGCAACGUUAAUCGACGCAGGGUUAGUCGGUCCCUAAGGCGAGGCUGAAAAGCGUAGUCGAUGGAAAACAGGUUAAUAUUCCUGUACUUCUGGUUAUUGCGAUGGAGGGACGGAGAAGGCUAGGCCAGCCUGGCGUUGGUAGUCCAGGUUUAAGGUGGUAGGCUGAGAUCUUAGGUAAAUCCGGGAUCUUAAGGCCGAGAGCUGAUGACGAGUGUUCUUUUAGAACAUGAAGUGGUUGAUGCCAUGCUUCCAAGAAAAGCUUCUAAGCUUCAGGUAACCAGGAACCGUACCCCAAACCGACACAGGUGGUUGGGUAGAGAAUACCAAGGCGCUUGAGAGAACUCGGGUGAAGGAACUAGGCAAAAUGGCACCGUAACUUCGGGAGAAGGUGCGCCGGUGGAGGUGAAGCAUUUACUGCGUAAGCCCCUGCCGGUCGAAGAUACCAGGCCGCUGCGACUGUUUAUUAAAAACACAGCACUCUGCAAACACGAAAGUGGACGUAUAGGGUGUGACGCCUGCCCGGUGCCGGAAGGUUAAUUGAUGGGGUUAGCGCAAGCGAAGCUCUUGAUCGAAGCCCCGGUAAACGGCGGCCGUAACUAUAACGGUCCUAAGGUAGCGAAAUUCCUUGUCGGGUAAGUUCCGACCUGCACGAAUGGCGUAACGAUGGCGGCGCUGUCUCCACCCGAGACUCAGUGAAAUUGAAAUCGCUGUGAAGAUGCAGUGUAUCCGCGGCUAGACGGAAAGACCCCGUGAACCUUUACUAUAGCUUUGCACUGGACUUUGAAUUUGCUUGUGUAGGAUAGGUGGGAGGCUUUGAAGCGUGGACGCCAGUCUGCGUGGAGCCAACCUUGAAAUACCACCCUGGCAACUUUGAGGUUCUAACUCAGGUCCGUUAUCCGGAUCGAGGACAGUGUAUGGUGGGUAGUUUGACUGGGGCGGUCUCCUCCUAAAGAGUAACGGAGGAGUACGAAGGUGCGCUCAGACCGGUCGGAAAUCGGUCGUAGAGUAUAAAGGCAAAAGCGCGCUUGACUGCGAGACAGACACGUCGAGCAGGUACGAAAGUAGGUCUUAGUGAUCCGGUGGUUCUGUAUGGAAGGGCCAUCGCUCAACGGAUAAAAGGUACUCCGGGGAUAACAGGCUGAUACCGCCCAAGAGUUCAUAUCGACGGCGGUGUUUGGCACCUCGAUGUCGGCUCAUCACAUCCUGGGGCUGAAGCCGGUCCCAAGGGUAUGGCUGUUCGCCAUUUAAAGUGGUACGCGAGCUGGGUUUAGAACGUCGUGAGACAGUUCGGUCCCUAUCUGCCGUGGACGUUUGAGAUUUGAGAGGGGCUGCUCCUAGUACGAGAGGACCGGAGUGGACGAACCUCUGGUGUUCCGGUUGUCACGCCAGUGGCAUUGCCGGGUAGCUAUGUUCGGAAAAGAUAACCGCUGAAAGCAUCUAAGCGGGAAACUUGCCUCAAGAUGAGAUCUCACUGGAACCUUGAGUUCCCUAAAGGGCCGUCGAAGACUACGACGUUGAUAGGUUGGGUGUGUAAGCGCUGUGAGGCGUUGAGCUAACCAAUACUAAUUGCCCGUGAGGCUUGACCAU